rnacentral:misc_RNA from 1 species
AACGCACAUUGCGCCCGCCAGUAUCCUGGCGGGCAUGCCUGUUCGAGCGUCAUUUCAACCCUCAGGCCCCGCCUGGUGUUGGGGACCUGCGCCUCGCAGCCCCCCAAAGACAGCGGCGGUCGCGUGUAGGCUCCCAGCGUAGUACUCUCUCUCGCUGCGGGUGCCGCGCGCCGGCCGGCCGGAACCUCUUUUUACAUGGUUGACCUCGGAUCAGGUAGGAAUACCCGCUGAACUUAA